UCCAUCAGGUAGGAUAUUUUUUUUUUUUGCGCCAUUGCAGGGUUAUUGAGAAAAUAUGGCCAUUGCAAGCUUUAGUUUACCUUUUACAUAUCUUCAAAAGCCUUCUUCUUGUUCUUGCAGAUGCAGCAGCAGCUCGUUUGAGAAGCCAAUUUUUGCCCAUUCUUCUAAUGGUAUAGCCAACAAAGCCCUGCAGGAAAUUCGAAAUUCUGGAGUUAUUGCUUGCCUUCGAGCCCAAAAUGCAGACCUGGCUAAUCGAGCUGCACGUGCUGCAUUGGAUGGUGGAAUUUCAGCUCUGGAAAUUGUGGUGUCCACUCCAGAUGUUUUUGAGGUGUUAAGAGACCUAGUGCAUGAUUAUCCAGCAAAAACUUUUGGUGUUGGAACAGUAUUACAGGCUAAAGAUGCCAAAGAUUCUAUUAAGUCUGGAGCUAAGUUUCUUAUGAGUCCUGCAACAGUUAUGGAUAUUCUAGUUGGUGUCUCAGAGAGUGAUGUUCUAUAUAUACCUGGGGUAAUGACCCCCACGGAGAUAUUAUCUGCUUUCAGUGCUGGUGCCAAGAUUGUCAAGGUUUAUCCCGUCUCUGCACUAGGCGGUGUUGGGUACAUUUCAGCUCUUAAAAGGCCUUUUUCUCAUAUCCCUAUGGUUGCAUCACAAGGCAUAACAAUAGAUUUGAUUGGGCAAUACAUUGGUCAGGGAGCAUCAGCAGUUGUUCUAUCCGAUGCCAUAUUUGACAAAGAGGCAAUGAGUCAACAGAAUUUCGAUAAAAUAUAUCAACUUGCAAGCCAUGCAGCUUUGCAGGGUAAACAAGCUGUUGAAAGGUCAGAAUGUUAGGUGCAGAUGCAUCUUUCGAUUUGUUAAAACCUCAUGGAACUGCAGGGGUUUAUGAGAAACGAGAAAUCAGAUUAAGCCAUCCGUCAUCCUGCUUGAAGUUUGGAAAAAUUAACUGUGCUGGUUUCGGUAGGGAGAGUUUUACACCCUUAGUGAGCCUCAGAGUGAAUCUAGAUUAGUCGAAGCAGUGGCCUUUGGAUAUCAGAUGGUUAAACCGAAAACAAAAGCUGUGUUGGUUAGUUCGUCCGUCUCCGAUUUACAGUCAGUUGCAACAUGUUGUGUGUAUGUCGCAAAGGGUGCAGACAUGCCAGAUUACAAGCAAUUGCAGGUUGCUAAAUCAGUUGUUUUUCCACAACUUCAUUGUUGUUUUUGUUUCACUAUCCUAUAAUGUUGACGCAUUCAUGUUGAAUUCUCGAAAAAUAAUACAUAUUUUUAAAGAAUCUGA